GAUGAACGCUGGCGGCGUGCCUAAUACAUGCAAGUCGAGCGAACGGACGAGAAGCUUGCUUCUCUGAUGUUAUCGGCGGACGGGUGAUUAACACGUGUAUAACCUACCUAUAAGACUUGUAUAACUUCGGGAAACCGUAUCUAAUACCGGAUAAUAUUUUGAACCGCAUGGUUCAAAAGUGAAAGACGGUCUUGCUGUCACUUAUAGAUGGAUCCGCGCUGCAUUAGAUAGUUGGUAAGGUAACGGCCUACCAAGGCAACGAUGCAUAGCCGACCUGAGAGGGUGAUCGGCCACACUGGAACUGAGACACGGUCCAGACUCCUACGGGAGGCAGCAGUAGGGAAUCUUCCGCAAUGGGCGAAAGCCUGACGGAGCAAAGCCGCGUGAGUGAUGAAGGUCUUAGGAUCGUAAAACUCUGUUAUUAGGGAAGAACAUAUGUGUAAGUAACUGUGCACAUCUUGACGGUACCUAAUAAGAAAGCCACGGCUAACUACGUG
rnacentral:rRNA from 1 species